AUUGAACGCUGGCGGCAGGCCUAACACAUGCAAGUCGGACGGUAGCACAGAGGAGCUUGCUCCUCGGGUGACGAGUGGCGGACGGGUGAGUAAUGUCUGGGGAUCUGCCCGAUAGAGGGGGAUAACCACUGGAAACGGUGGCUAAUACCGCAUAACGUCGCAAGACCAAAGAGGGGGACCUUCGGGCCUCUCACUAUCGGAUGAACCAAGAUGGGAUUAGCUAGUAGGCGGGGUAACGGCCCACCUAGGCGACGAUCCCUAGCUGGUCUGAGAGGAUGACCAGCCACACUGGAACUGAGACACGGUCCAGACUCCUACGGGAGGCAGCAGUGGGGAAUAUUGCACAAUGGGCGCAAGCCUGAUGCAGCCAUGCCGCGUGUAUGAAGAAGGCCUUCGGGUUGUAAAGUACUUUCAGCGGGGAGGAAGGCGAUAAGGUUAAUAACCUUGUCGAUUGACGUUACCCGCAGAAGAAGCACCGGCUAACUCCGUGCCAGCCGCCGCGGUAA
rnacentral:rRNA from 1 species